rnacentral:rRNA from 1 species
AGAUUGAACGCUGGCGGCAGGCCUAACACAUGCAAGUCGAGCGCGAAAGUUCCUUCGGGAAUGAGUAGAGCGGCGGACGGGUGAGUAACGCGUAGGAAUUUGCCCAGUAGUGGGGGACAACUCGGGGAAACUCGAGCUAAUACCGCAUACGCCCCAAGGGGGAAAGCAGGGGAUCUUCGGACCUUGCGCUAUUGGAUAAGCCUGCGUCGGAUUAGCUAGUUAGUGGGGUAAGGCCUACCAAGGCAACGAUCCGUAGCUGGUCUGAGAGGAUGAUCAGCCACACUGGGACUGAGACACGGCCCAGACUCCUACGGGAGGCAGCAGUGGGAAUAUUGGACAAGUGGGGCAACCCUUUGAUCCAGCCAUGCCGCGUGUGUGAAGAAGGCCGUUAGGGUGUAAAGCUACUUCAGUGGGAAGGAAAGCGUGGCGACUAAUACGUCCGUCGCCCGUAGACCGUUACCACAA